GACGAACGCUGGCGGCGUGCUUAACACAUGCAAGUCGAACGGAAAGGCCCCUUUGGGGGUACUCGAGUGGCGAACGGGUGAGUAACACGUGAGUAACCUGCCCUUGACUUCGGGAUAACUUCAGGAAACUGGGGCUAAUACCGGAUAGGAAUCCUUGCUGCAUGGUGGGGGUUGGAAAGCUUCGGCGGUUUUGGAUGGACUCGCGGCUUAUCAGCUUGUUGGUGGGGUAGUGGCUUACCAAGGCUUUGACGGGUAGCCGGCCUGAGAGGGCGACCGGCCACAUUGGGUCUGAGAUACGGCCCAGACUCCUACGGGAGGCAGCAGUGGGGAAUAUUGCACAAUGGGCGGAAGCCUGAUGCAGCAACGCCGCGUGCGGGAUGACGGCCUUCGGGUUGUGAACCGCUUUCAGCAGGGGCGAAGCUUGUGGUGACGGUACCUGCAGAAGAAGCACCGGCUAACUACGUG
rnacentral:rRNA from 1 species